CGCCCUACGGGACGCAGUAGUGGGGAAUAUUGCACAAUGGGCGCAAGCCUGAUGCAGCGACGCCGCGUGCGGGAUGGAGGCCUUCGGGUUGUAAACCGCUUUUGUUCAAGGGCAAGGCACGGUCUUUGGCCGUGUUGAGUGGAUUGUUCGAAUAAGCACCGGCUAACUACGUGCCAGCAGCCGCGGUAAUACGUAGGGUGCAAGCGUUAUCCGGAUUUAUUGGGCGUAAAAGGCUCGUAGGCGGUUCGUCGCGUCCGGGGUGAAAGUCCAUCGCCUAACGGGGGAUCCGCGCCGGGUACGGGCGG
rnacentral:rRNA from 1 species